rnacentral:rRNA from 1 species
AGUGUUUGAUCCUGGCUCAGGACGAACGCUGGCGGCGUGCUUAAAACAUGCAAGUCGAACGAGACCUUUGGUUAGUGGCGAACGGCGGAGUAAUACAUAAGCAACCUGCCUCAAAGACCGGGAUAGCCCCUCGAAAGAGGGAUUAAUACCGGAUGUGGCCUUUUGUGGGCAUCCACGAAAGAUUAAAACGAGUAAUCGGCUUUGAGAGGGGCUUGUGGCCUAUCAGCUUGUUGGUGGGGUAAUGGCCUACCAAGGCUUCGACGGGUAGCGGGUCUGAGAGGAUGAUCCGCCCGACUGGGACUGAGACACGGCCCAGACUCCUACGGGAGGCAGCAGUUGGGAAUCUUGCACAAUGGGCGAAAGCCUGAUGCAGCGACGCCGCGUGGAGGACGAAGUCUUUCGGGAUGUAAACCUCCUUUUGCCAGGAACGAUAUGACGGUACCUGGUGAAUAAGCCCGGCUAACUACGUGCAGCACCGCGGUAAGAC